AGCGGCUGGUCUCGUUUACUCUCGCGAUACUUUGUUGGCACGUGUGAUCGUAAAACGGCUGCUGCAGCGAUCAAAGUCGGACAAAGUGUCUAAACAGACUGCAUCGCUGUUUUCAGGCGGCUGCAGAUUCUUGCGUCGCCGAAUGAAGUCGAACAAGCCUAUUUUUUCUCCAGUUAUUGCUUGGGCUGACUGUGGAGACUUGCCAUUGGCUGUUGUUUUGAAUAAUCAACGAGGUGAGGACGGCUCCAUAUCUAAUGCGUGGUCGUGCGGGAUGGAGCGCUCUCCAUCUCGGAGCAUGACGUGAUAGAGACAUCGGUCUCUAUCACAGGGUUGAGACUCUCCUGCUCGGCCACGUUUAUCACGUAAUGACAGAACACUACAUGUCUUCCGCUUCUUGUCUCUCUGCGCAGGCGGCGGGUGACAAGUUUGUCCGUUGCUACGUGACUGUCACGUGAUGCACUGAAAGAGCGCGAGAACAUAAUGACAAUUGAUAAUACUUUUCAACAGAACUUUUCUUACAUGUCAAGUGAUUCACAUUUGUUCCUGGUCUUAAUAUUAGUGUAUUUUACUAUAAUUACUUAUCAUUGUCGUUGCCGAAUUAUUUACUUUCACUUUAUUUUCUAAAUCUAUAUUAAUUGAAGCGUAACGCCGCUAGCAUAUUAGCGUGUUAGCUUGUCUUCUGUUUACAUUGUGGAAUAUCAUCUCCCCCUAUUUGUCUUGUGUGCUAACUGUUUCUCUUUUUAAGCGUAUAUA